CUCUUUUUAUCAUCAAUGCUUUUAUUUCGGGGAUAAUAAAUUGACAAGAUUUUCCACGUACUUUUAUAGUCUUUAUUGGGGAGUGUUUAUCUAUUGGGAAUUUAAAAAUAUUUCGUUAAAAAUGGUUAGUUUUUCAUUUCAUUUAGUUUUUCAUUUCAAUUGUUACUUUUUCAUUUCAUUUCAUUCCAUGUCUGGUUAGUUUACCAGUUCAUGUCUUCACAUCCCACCUUUCUCCUUCGCUUGGGCUUCUCUGACGCGUUCCUUUAUCUCGACUAAUUCUCGUUGUAAUGAAGAUAUCUUCACGUCAGAUAGCUCACUCUGAACUUCUCAACCUUCUCAAUUUCAAAGAAUAUAUAACAUGCCGUGGUGUGAUAAAUACUUGUUAAGGACUAAAGCUGACGAUUUCUUCAAAAGUCCAUGGUUAAACAUGCCGAUCCAAUCAUAGCCAUCAUAGUUUUGGUUCCUUCCUUGUUGGUUUUUAAUUGACGUUUCUCGGUCCUCUUCUUUUUGUUGAUCUUCAUACACUUCAAGCGGUCAACAUAUUCCUUGGCCAGCCCACGAAUCCUCGCACAAGGACGCCCAACCCGUGAG